GGGGGUUUUGCUGGAGAUCUCUGGGUUCCUGAGGCCUUCUGAAGGUUCCCUGGUUCCAGACUCCCCAGCCCUUGUGUUGUGCUGCUCCAAGAGACUCACUGCUGCUCUUUUAGAAGAGAGAAAAUGAGGGUACAGGAGAAGAGCUGAAACCAUGGCAGAGGGAAUGGAAACACAAAAGAUAUUAUAGCACCAAAAAAAAACCCCGUGAAUGAGAAGCAUGGAAAAGAGACCAGUGAAAGCAAUACUGUUGAUUUUGUUUGAUUUCAAUAUAUCACUGAGGCUGAGAAACAAAUGACUUUGGUCCCUGCAACAUGGGUAUGGUACAGACAGAAAGUAAAUGGCUUACAUCAUGAAGUGGUUCCUGGCAGCAUGCACAAGCCUUACCUCAGUGGAAGGGAAUACAUGCAUAUUCAAAGGCGUUUACUAAAGUAAUGAAGAAAGGAGAAGCAGUGUUUUCCCUUGACUUGGAAUUCCCACUUCUGCUCAGCUGGGAAUGCAAGAAUAAUUAAUCAAAGUGCUUAAAUAAGUUUCUCUCUGC